AUAUGACAGCUGGUUACACAAAGAAAAGGGGGUUGGGUUUGAGUGAAAGAGCGGGAAGACUGAAGAACAAAGGAAGAAGCGAUGUCUCUAUCGGGCCGUAGGCAGCUACUCUAUCGUAAAUACAGUAUUUUAUACAUUCUAAAUUACCACCCGUUUGGAAAAGGAAAAUGCAAUUAAUAUUUACUCUGAGCUACGCUUCGUUAGGUUGGUCGUAGAUGCUGGUCAUGUUGGCCAACAGAGAUUGUUCUGUCCUCGGAAGAAUGUCUCUGGUGGUAAAUUGGAUGUUGCAGUAACGUCAUUGUGUGGUAGACGUGAUACUCUGUCUGUUCUUUCCUAGCCCACGUUUGCAGCUGCUGUUGAUAACUGAACGGCUAGGAGGUAUCACUUCUGUAGCGAAUAAGAGUUCAAAGUUCACACUGAGGUUGGCUUUGUUCUAUAGUUAUUAUCUAAGCCCAAGUCCACAUUUUGUCACAUCAUCCAGAAUGCCACACUAAAUACAUUUGCUAAGAAAGUGAAUUUUGAUGUGGAGAAUCUGUUUAAGGAUAAAAUUGACUCCAACCAAACACGACAUAAUCUUUCUAAGACAGAGCAGGAUGCAAUUGAAUCAUUGUCCAAAAAUGAACAGAUUGUGGUUAAAAAAAGCAGACAAAGGUGGUGCUACAGUAGUGUGGAGUAAAGACAAAGGUGGUGCUACAGUAGUGUGGAGUAAAGACAAAGGUGGUGCUACAGUAGUGUGGAGUAAAGACAAAGGUGGUGCUACAGUAGUGUGGAGUAAAGACAAAGGUGGUGCUACAGUAGUGUGGAGUAAAGACAAAGGUGGUGCUACAGUAGUGUGGAGUAAAGACAAAGGUGGUGCUACAGUAGUGUGGAGUAAAGACAAAGGUGGCGCUACAGUAGUGUGGAGUAAAGACAUAGGUGGUGCUACAGUAGUGUGGAGUAAAGACAUAGGUGGUGCUACAGUAGUGUGGAGUAAAGACAAAGGUGGUGCUACAGUAGUGUGGAGUAAAGACAAAGGUGGCGCUACAGUAGUGUGGAGUAAAGACAAAGGUGGUGCUACAGUAGUGUGGAGUAAAGAGAAAGGUGGUGCUACAGUAAUGUGGAGUAAAGACAUAGGUGGUGCUACAGUAGUGUGGAGUAAAGACAUAGGUGGUGCUACAGUAGUGUGGAGUAAAGACAUAGGUGGUGCUACAGUGGUGGUGCUACUGAAUUGAAAGGGAUCCUCACAGAAACUAAGGAGAAUGGCUACAUUUCAGACAAGGAGUUCAAAUGUAUUUUCAAUGACAGAGAGAAACCAUCUUCUUCCAAAGGUCCACAAACAUCCUGAAAAUCGCCCAAACAGACCAGUCAUCAGUGAUAAUGAAGGUCUGACAGAACCCAUCUCUAAGUACAUUGAUUACUUCAUUCAGCCUUUUCUGACAUCACUCCCAGCCUAUCUUCAAGAUACUACAGAUGUGUUGAACAAAAUUAAGGAAUUGAACAAUAUAGGUACAGCUUCCUUUUUAGUCCCCAUAGAUGUAGAGUCUCUAUACACCACCAUUGAACAUGAACGAGGUUUGGCAGCUAUGCACCAUUUCUUGAGAACCCGACCUGAAACUGAGAUGCCUCCUACAGAAUUUAUUGUCUCACUGACUGAAUGGACUCUUAAAUCAUAACAUCGUUAUCUUUCAGGACCGUAUUUUUAAACAGGUUAAAGGAUGUGCCAUAUGGGAGCUUACAGCCCUUCCUACGCUGGUUUGUACUUGGGUAAAUUACUUCAUUUUGGAUCCUUCUAAUAACCAUUUCUUUGACUGGAUUAUAUGGUGGGGACACUAUAUUGAUGAUGUUUGCCUGUUUUGGUCCGGCUCAGAAGAUUAACUUAUUUCCUUCCACUAAUACCUUAAAAACGCUAACGGGAUCGAUAUGACAACAGCCAGUGAAAGUGCAGGGCGCCAAAUUCAAAACAACAGAAAUCUCAUAAUUAAAAUUCUUCAAAACAUAGAAGUAUUUUACACCAUUUUAAAUAUAAACUUGUUGUUAAUCCCACCACAGUGUCUGAUUUCAAAAAGGCUUUAUGACGAAAGCACGCCAAACGAUUAUGUCAGGUCAGUACCUAGUUACAGAAAAACACAGCCAUUUUUCCAGCCAAAGAGGGGAGUCACGAAAAGCAGAUAUAGAGAGAAAAUGAAUCACUAACCUUUCAUGAUCUUCAUCAGAUGACACUCAUUUGACUUCAUGUUAAACAAUACAUGUAUGUUUUGUUCGAUAAAGUUCAUAUUUAUAUCAAGAAAUCUGAGUUUACAUUGGCCCGUUAUGUUUAGUAGUUCCAAAACAUCCAGUGAUUUUGCAGAGAGCCACAUCAAUUUACAGAAAUACUCAUAAUAAACAUUGAUAAAAGAUACAACUAUUAUGCUUGGGAAUUAUAGAUACACUUCUCCUUAAUGCAACUGCUGUGUCAGAUUUCAAAAAAGCUUUACGGAAAAAGCACACCAUGCAAUAAUCUGAGUACAGCACUCAGACAACAAAACAAGCCUUACAGAUAUCUGCCAUGUUGUGGAGUCAACAGAAGUCAGAAAUAUCAUUAUAAAUAUUCACUUACCUUUGAUGAUCUUCAUCAGAAUGCACUCCCAGGAAUCCUAGUUCCACAAUAAAUGUUUGAUUUGUUCGGUGAAGUCCAUCAUUUAUGUCCAAAUACCUCCUUUUUGUUCACACGUUUAGCCCAGUAAUCCAAAUGCUCGAUCACGUAGUUCAGAUGAAAAGUCAAAAUAGUUAUAUUACAGUUCGUAGAAACAUGUCAAACGAUGUAUAGAAUCAAUCUUCAGGAUGUUUUUAAAAUAAAUCUUCAAUAAUGUUCCAACCGGAGGAUUCCUUUGUCUACAGAAUUGCAAUGGAACUCAAGCUAACUCUCACUUGAACGUGCGUGGUCAGCUCAUGCCUCUCUGGUAGACCUCUGACUCAAUCCCCUCUCAUUCCCCCUCUCCUUCACAGUAGAGGCAUCAAACAAGGUUCUAAAGACUGUUGACAUCUAGUGGAAGCCUCAAGAAGUGCAAUAUGACCCCAUAGACACUGUAUAUUCGAUUGGCAAAGAGUUGAAAAACUACAGACCUCAGAUUUCCCACUUCCUGGUUGGAUUUUUUCUCAGGUUUGUUUCUACCACAUGAGUUCUGUUAUACUCACAGACAUGCAAAAACAGUUUUAGAAACUUCAGAGUGUUUAUCCGAAUAUACUAAUAUACUAAUACUGUGCAUAUAUUAGCAACUGGGCCUGAGUAGCAGGCAGUAUACUCAGGGCACCUUAUUCAUCCAAGCUACUCAAUACGGUCCUUCUGUAGCUCAGUUGGUAGAGCAUGGCGCUUGUAACGCCAGGGUAGUGGGUUCGAUUCCCGGGACCACCCAUACGUAGAAUGUAUGCACACAUCACUGUAAGUCGCUUUGGAUAAAAGCGUCUGCUAAAUGGCAUAUAUUAUAUAUUUACUGCUCCCAGCUAUAAGAAGUUAACAGCAUUAACCCUAACAUCAACCUAACUAUGGAGCACAGCAAGGAUAACAGUGGAGAAUCUGCUGAAUUGGAGAAUCGCUUCUUGAAUGGAGGCUACAACGUUCAGGUCCUGAAAGAUGCAGGAAUAAGGGCUGGAUUACUUGACAGAGAGAACUUGUUGCAAAGGGGAGAGCCUCAGAGAGAGUGUAUUUUGUUACAAGAUACAGCACUGAAGCAGAGAACAUUAUUAAAAGAAUAAUUGGGGAAUCAUCCAAAGUGAUACGCUACUACGCCAAGUCUUUCCUGAGCCACCAGUCAUAAGCUUUAAGAGAUGGCCUACCCUUUAAGAGAUGUCCUACCCUUUAAGAGAUGGCCUACCCUUUAAGAGAUGGCCUACCCUUUAAGAGAUGGCCCACCCUUUAAGAGAUGGCCCACCCUUUAAGAGAUGGCCUACCCUUUAAGAGAUGGCCCACCCUUUAAGAGAUGUCCCACCCUUUAAGAGA